AGGAAGUCUCCUGGUAUGGAUGGAUUUACUGGAGAAAUGUGUAAAAGUGUCUGGAAGUCAAUUCCAAAAUAUAUGAAAGCGAUGUUUGCGAAGUGUCUGAAUGAGGGUUAUUUCCCCAGUGAAUGGAAGUGUGCGAGAGUGAUAGUGCUCCUGAAGUCGCCUGACAGGGUCAGGAGCAAUCCUAGAUCUUUUCGGGGCAUCAGUCUUCUUCCGGUUCUUGGAAAAGUUCUGGAAAGGAUUAUGGUAGAAAGGCUUCAGGAGAGAAUGAGUGACCAAAUGUCUGACAGGCAACUUGGUUUUAGGCAGGGCAGAUGUGUUGAGGAUGCGUGGAGGUAUGUUAGUGACUCUGUUGAGGCUGGCAGCUCCACGUAUAUCUUGGGCAUCUUUGUUGAUUUUAAAGGUGCUUUCGACUACCUGAGUUGGGCGAGUGUUCUGAGAAGGUUGGAUGAAUGCGGGUGCCGAGAAUUAGCUCUCUGGAAGAGCUAUUACUCUGGCAGACGUGCGUGUGUUGUAGGGCGGAGUGAAUGUGUGAGCGUAGAUGUGGUUCGUGGCUGUCCGCAGGGAUCUAUCUGGCCCAUUCAUUUGGAACCUCAUGAUGGACCCCUUGCUGGUGCAGCUCGAGCAGAUGUGUAAGUGUUGUGCGUAUGCGGACGAUCUGCUCGUCUUGAUUGAGGGUCGGUCGCGUCUUAAGAUCGAGACGAAUGCGGGUAUGUGCUUGCGCACUGUGUAUGAGUGGGGUGAAAGUGUUGGGGUCAGUCUUGCAAUGGACAAGACAGUGUCAAGGGCAGAUUGGCAACUAGUCGGCCACCCUUUGUCAGACUGAAUGGAGUGAAUGUGAGGUAUGCGUCUGAGGUGAAAUACCUCGACAUAACCUUCGGCGAGAGGAUGUGUUUCACUCCUCAUAUCGCUGGUCUCAAGGCCCGGCUACUUGGCUUGGUGGGGCAAGUGCGUCGUAUUUUGAGGUCUGACUGGGGCCUUAGCAGACGUGCUGUCCGCACUAUCUAUGAGGGUAUGUUUGCUGCAUGUGCAGCGUAUGGAUCGCCUGUAUGGUGCAAGGCCGUCACGACUGUGGUUGGCAGAAAGAAAGUGCUGGCUUGCCAGAGAGUGCUUCUGUUAGGUUGUUUGCCUGUGUGCCGCACUGUCUCUACGGAGGCAAUGCAGGUACUGUUGGGAGUGGCCCCCUUGACUUGGAGAUCAGGCGUCGAGCCUUGAUGUACAGGAUCAAGAGGCGGCUGCCAUUGCUGCAGAAUGAUUGGCUAGCAGAUAGGGAUGUGGAGAGUUUAGGGCUUAGUGAAUGCAAGAGAUUGGUGAAAGAGUGUGUUUUGUCUGACUGGUAAGUCAGAUGGGGCACAAGCGUGAAUGGGCGUGUCACUCAUCGGUUUAUACGGGAGGUUACAUUUGCCGGCAGCCGACCAGACUUUGGGUACGGCCUAAGUCUUGGAUUCCUGUUGACUGGUCAUGGUUCCCUCAAUGCAUUUUUGCAUUCAAGGAGCCUUUAUGACAGUCCAGAAUGCCGUUGUGGCUCGGCUGCUGAGACAUGGGAGCAUGUUCUCUGUGAGUGCACAAUAUAUGCAGAUCUUCGUGAUCUGAUGGGGAUGGGUAUAAGUGUGGGUAGUGGCGGGUUUGACGUAAGUCAAUCACUCUCCACUAGUGAUAGGGUUAGAAGAAUGAGUGAGUUUGCUAGAGCUGUUUGCAAUUGCAGGAAGGAAUUGUAUGAAUGAAGAUAGAUGGUAGAUGUACGAAUGUGGGGUGCGAAUGGUGGGGUACGAACGUGGGGGUGUGUCUGAAUGGGCAUUUUGUUGAACAUGGUGUUGUCCGGGGCUACCAGUCCCCAGCAUCAUGGAGCUAAAACUGGAAGUGUCCUUUUAGGAUACGAGUUCUGACCAGAGGAUUGAUCUGGGACCACGGGCGUUAGGGAACACAGAGGCGGUCUCGGCUCUCUGCUCUCUCCGCCAUAGUCUUUUGGGACUUGUUGGGGACACUAGCUGGCCGCCUAGCGGUUUGAUCUAUGAUCAACUUGAAAAUGCCGUCGCUUGCGGAAGAGGCAGGAAUAAGCCUCCCUCCCCACAGUGAGAAAGCCAUGCCAUGAACAUGUAUACAUCUCCUUAUCUCCUUACUUACUUGAUUAAAUGGAACGUGUAUCAUUUCCUAGCCAUUAUACGGAUAUAAUUAUUAUGUCUUAUGGUAUUGGGUUUUGAUGCAAGCUUCUUGAUCAAAGUAUCACGAGUUUGUUAUAUAAUCGCAAACAUAUUCUUUAAUGAGAGAAUGCAUUUAUGUAUUAUUGAUUUAGAAAUUUGGUAUAACUCCAAUUACUCAGGUAUGAUCCAAUUCAAGGACAUUGCCAGGUAGGGAGUUUGACUGGGGCGGUACAUCUCUCAAAUAAUAACGGAGGUGUCCCAAGGCCAGCUCAGUGCGGACAGAAACCACACAUAGAGCAAAAGGGCAAAUGCUGACUUGAUCUCGGUGUUCAGUACACACAGGGACAGCAAAAGCUCGGCCUAUCGAUCCUUUUGGUUUAAAGAGUUUUUAAAAAGAUGUGUCAGAAAAGUUACCAUAGGGAUAACUGGCUUGUGGCGGCCAAGCGUUAAUAGCGACGUCGCUUUUUGAUCCUUCGAUGUCGGCUCUUCCUAUCAUUGUGAAGCAAAAUUCACCAAGCGUUAAAUUGUUCACCCAUGCAAGGGAACGUGAGCUGGGUUUAGACCGUCGUGAGACAGGUUAGUUUUACCCUACUAAUGACAAAACGUUGUUGCGACAGCAUUCCUGCGUAGUACGAGAGGAACCGCAGGUACGGACCAAUGGCACAAUACUUGUUCGAGCGAACAGUGGUAUGACGCUACGUCCGUUGGAUUAUGCCUGAACGCCUCUAAGGUCGUAUCCGUGCUGGACUGCAAUGAUAAAUAAGGGGCAAUUUGCAUUGUAUGGCUUCUAAACCAUUAAAAGUUUUUAAUUUAUUUUAUUAACGACAAUGGAUGUGAUGCCAAUGUUAUUUAUAACAUAGUAAAUUGGGAGGAUCUUCGAUCACCUGAUGCCGCGCUAGUUAUAUUUUAAAACAUUAUUU
rnacentral:rRNA from 1 species